AUGAACGCUAGCUACAGGCUUAACACAUGCAAGUCGAGGGGCAUCAGGAAGAAAGCUUGCUUUCUUUGCUGGCGACCGGCGCACGGGUGAGUAACACGUAUCCAACCUGCCCUUUACUCGGGGAUAGCCUUUCGAAAGAAAGAUUAAUACCCGAUGGCAUAAUGAUUCCGCAUGGUUUCAUUAUUAAAGGAUUCCGGUAAAGGAUGGGGAUGCGUUCCAUUAGGUUGUUGGUGAGGUAACGGCUCACCAAGCCUUCGAUGGAUAGGGGUUCUGAGAGGAAGGUCCCCCACAUUGGAACUGAGACACGGUCCAAACUCCUACGGGAGGCAGCAGUGAGGAAUAUUGGUCAAUGGGCGCUAGCCUGAACCAGCCAAGUAGCGUGAAGGAUGAAGGCUCUAUGGGUCGUAAACUUCUUUUAUAUAAGAAUAAAGUGCAGUAUGUAUACUGUUUUGUAUGUAUUAUAUGAAUAAGGAUCGGCUAACUCCGUGCCAGCAGCCGCGGUAAUACGGAGGAUCCGAGCGUUAUCCGGAUUUAUUGGGUUUAAAGGGAGCGUAGGUGGACUGGUAAGUCAGUUGUGAAAGUUUGCGGCUCAACCGUAAAAUUGCAGUUGAUACUGUCAGUCUUGAGUACAGUAGAGGUGGGCGGAAUUCGUGGUGUAGCGGUGAAAUGCUUAGAUAUCACGAAGAACUCCGAUUGCGAAGGCAGCUCACUGGACUGCAACUGACACUGAUGCUCGAAAGUGUGGGUAUCAAACAGGAUUAGAUACCCUGGUAGUCCACACAGUAAACGAUGAAUACUCGCUGUUUGCGAUAUACAGUAAGCGGCCAAGCGAAAGCAUUAAGUAUUCCACCUGGGGAGUACGCCGGCAACGGUGAAACUCAAAGGAAUUGACGGGGGCCCGCACAAGCGGAGGAACAUGUGGUUUGAUUCGAUGAUACGCGAGGAACCUUACCCGGGCUUAAAUUGCAGUGGAAUGAUGUGGAAACAUGUCAGUGAGCAAUCACCGCUGUGAAGGUGCUGCAUGGUUGUCGUCAGCUCGUGCCGUGAGGUGUCGGCUUAAGUGCCAUAACGAGCGCAACCCUUAUCUUUAGUUACUAACAGGUCAUGCUGAGGACUCUAGAGAGACUGCCGUCGUAAGAUGUGAGGAAGGUGGGGAUGACGUCAAAUCAGCACGGCCCUUACGUCCGGGGCUACACACGUGUUACAAUGGGGGGUACAGAAGGCAGCUAGCGGGUGACCGUAUGCUAAUCCCAAAAUCCUCUCUCAGUUCGGAUCGAAGUCUGCAACCCGACUUCGUGAAGCUGGAUUCGCUAGUAAUCGCGCAUCAGCCACGGCGCGGUGAAUACGUUCCCGGGCCUUGUACACACCGCCCGUCAAGCCAUGGGAGCCGGGGGUACCUGAAGUACGUAACCGCAAGGAUCGUCCUAGGGUAAAACUGGUGACUGGGGCU
rnacentral:rRNA from 1 species